UACAGAGGUCUCAAGCGUUUGUUCGGAUUCAUUGGGCGUAAAGGGUGCGUAGGCGGCGCGGUAAGUCGGGUGUGAAAUCUCGGAGCUUAACUCCGAAACUGCAUUCGAUACUGCCGUGCUUGAGGACUGGAGAGGAGACUGGAAUUUACGGUGUAGCGGUGAAAUGCGUAGAUAUCGUAAGGAAGACCAGUGGCGAAGGCGGGUCUCUGGACAGUUCCUGACGCUGAGGCACGAAGGCAGGGGAGCAAACGGGAUUAGA
rnacentral:rRNA from 1 species